UGAUAUUGUCAUCCAGCACAG
rnacentral:miRNA from 1 species